rnacentral:rRNA from 1 species
ACGCGAAAGCGUGGGGAGCAAAAAGGAUUAGAUACCCUUGUAGUCCACGCCCUAAACGAUGCCUGCUAGCUGUUUCGAGUAUCGACCCUCGGAGUGGCGUAGCUAACGCGUUAAGCAGGCCGCCUGGGAAGUACGAGCGCAAGCUUAAAACUCAAAGGAAUAGACGGGGACUCGCACAAGCGGUGGAACAUGAGGUUCAAUUCGACAGUAAGCGAGAAACCUUACCAGGGCUUGAAAUGUUGGUAGAAAUCUUGCCGAAAGGCAGGACCUCCCGCAAGGGACUGUCAACACAGGUGCUGCAUGGUUGUCGUCAGCUCGUGCUUUGAAGUGUUCCCUUAAGUGGGGUAACGAGCGCAACCCCUAUCGUGUGUUACAAGUGUCACGCGAAACUGCCCCGCCCAAAGUUCGUAAAUGGAUUUGUGAAUUUCGGGCGGGGAGGAAGGAGGGGAUGACGUCAAAUCCGCAUGGCCCUUUGAUGCCCUGGGCGACACUCGUGUUACAAUGGAGCCGACAAUGCGUUGCCAACCCGCAAGGGGGAGCUAAUCGCAUCAAACGGUUUCUCAGUUCGGAUUGGGGGCUGCAAUUCGCCCCCAUGAAGCCGGAAUCGCUAGUAAUCGCGGAUCAUAACGCCGCGGUGAAUACGUUCUCGAGUCCUGUACUCACCGCCCGUCAAGCCAAGGGAGCCGGGAGGAGAUGAAGUC